rnacentral:misc_RNA from 1 species
GAAAGUAAAUCGCACCGACCCUUAGCGACGUAGGUUUUUUUUAUUAUUUUUUUUCACUUUCGCCACGAGCAUGAUGGACUUUGUAACCAUUGAGCGACAAGCGCUGCACGCUUUGAGAGAUUCAAGCAAGGCCAUCAAAAUACCCUCCGAUCGAGAAAAUGACCGCACUGCCGAUACCCUAGCGCAACUCGUUGAAAAGCUGAAAAUGAAUGAACCUGUGUGCGUGUCUGUACAGGUUCAUGACAGCCGAUUCCAGAAAUAUGCGUGCACCACGCCCGUCGGUAAGCAUAUUCUUGAACUCGCUGCAAGAAUUGAUUGCAGUGGAUCAGUUGUGCAGGACCAAAUCACUGAAAAUCAGUGUCAGCUGCUGGUUUCCUUUCCUGAACGCCUGGCCAACGUGGUUAGCCAAAACCGAAACGCUACGUUUCUUUUCGACGCCACGCUUUAUUGGGAACGCCUUUGUGACACUGUAUUGCUCUUUCAUUUCACAAAAGCGCAGCAGGCCGAUAACGGCGAAGGAGUGAAAGUCGAUACGAAGCACUUAUUAAAGGUUUUGAAAAUGCUAGCUGUUUUGCUGCUCCGACGCGGGAAGAGUGACAUCAUGAUCCGCCGUCUGGGAAUGAUACCAAAGUACCUCUUCGAUGGUGAGCAUUUUUGCGAUCGAUUUGCCAAUCUAAUAGAAGCUGCUUUCGAAGCGAGCAAGCAACUGCAUUUUUCUCUCAAAUCGCAGAGACGCGCAGAAGUAUCUAGCCUUUGGCAUCGCUGGAAUUCUCUGCUUUUUCAAUUGAUUGAGAAGCGGGCGGAGAUAAAGGAUGUCGUUCUCAGCGCUCUUAGUGCCCUGAUAAAUGCCCCAGCUGGCGGCAACUCAAUUCAGCUGGCCAAUAAUGUGUUCGACACCGUUUGUGUGCAUCAGCUUUCCAUUGCCGGACCAACGCGGGCAAUCGCACGCACCAUUGUCAAGGAUUUUCUCCCUGCAGUAGCAGGCGCUGCCGAUGCGAAUCACGGGCUUACUCAUAGGGAGCAGGAGUGCUUUAGCGCGCUUUUCAAGAAGUGGGAAAACAAGGAGUUUGUCACCUCUGCUGAUUUGAGUCUGAAUAUGCGGCUUCUGCAUCCGGUCAUGUACGUGCUUUUGUAUUUGCACAAGAAAGCGCCUGCCGAAAGCAGGUUUCCUGAUGCGUUUGUCGGAGCUCUUCUUAAUGGCGUGACAAUCCGCCUCGAUAGCACUCGCGGCCCUGAAUUGCGAAACUGCGCGAUGACAGUUGCUGCCGCAUAUGCAACGCUUUUCGUGACAAGCGCCGACGGCGUCGCUCCAUUGCUGCAGGAUGCUAACUUCUCUGCGGCGCUCAAUGAGUGGAUGAAGGAAGAACCGGGCACCUCACAGUACGCCGAAGCCGUGAGCGCCGCCACGCAGAUGAAAAACAAACCCGUAGUCGCAGUAGGUUUGGAGAUGCGAGUGUCUUCACUGGUGGAGGUAUUUCCCUUGGAUCCAGAUGAGGAAUAUCACUUUUUUGCGAGGCCAAGCCACAGCAAAGAAGAAAAAUCGAUCGCAGCACAGACUAUUGAUGCACCCGUGGCAAUAGUGCAACUCGACUCUACAGAAGCUCCUCUUCCAUCAUUCGGCCAACAAAAGUACGCGAAAGAUGAAUUGGGCGAGCACGUGUCCAUUCUCAGCAGCAUUCGUGAGUGCUACAAUGCGUUGGUCGGUGUGGGACGAAGCCCCAACGCGCAAUUGCACGAGGUUCAGGAAGCCACUGAAAGUGGCUUGCGAGGACUUUCUGAUGCAUUCGGUAAGCUCCGGCAGCGGAUCGGCUCUGAUCUGUUCAACGCAGUCAGCAGGGAGACGGGUCCGCUUGUCGCCGUCUUGUUGCCUACGCUGAUUUCACUAAGUAUUCAUGCUCCCGAAGAUCAGAAGCAGUAUUUAGUGCAGCUACGCUACACGAUUAUCGUCGACCUCAUCGUGCUGAAUCCCCCUUUAGCGCUGAACCAGCUGGGUGGAAUGGUGUAUCGUAGCAAUUAUGGAAUUUACCAACGGACAGAACUCAUAAAGGCAAUUGGCGAAGCUGCUUUUGUGUUGUCACAAGUAGAGGUGGCGCCGGCUUCUGCUGCAAGCACAGGGACUGGACACGAGCAAGCCAUGGUCACCGAGAAGCUUCAACGUAUUUAUCCACCGAUUCCGACGCACGAGCUGUCAAGUGGUCGUAAACCGUCUAUUGUGGUGAGCGAAGGUAAGAGUACGCGUCGUUGGGGAAAUGCGGUAGUUGAACGCCAUAAUCGUACGCGCCCAAGGCACUACAGCAACUUGCUUGGGGACGUGGCCGCAGCGUUUGUGGCGGUGUUUUUGCAUAAACUUGAUGCCGAUCAUUUUGCCUUUUUUCAAGAAGUGGACCCUUACACGCCGUGUGCAAUUCUCGAUUCUCUUACGAGUGUUUUUCAAGGCAUUACAAAUGUUCGCCACGUCGCUGCAGAGCUGUCUGAGAAGAACUUCGACUUCUUUUUUGCCGUUUGCACACGGCACCCAAACCUCUCUGUCCGGAAAGCCGCGUGGGCUUCCAUGGUGGAGGUGAUGCGCACCUGGUGUGGUGUGGCCCCUCUUUGGAUUCGUCGGAAAGACGGUGAGCGGAUCUUCAACAGGGACGCGGUGGCCUAUCGCUCACUUGUCUUCACCAAAACAUGGCUGAGCGCGCUGGAGAUUCUGCAGCAUACUUGCGCGGAUAUGGUGCAGAAGAGUGAUCCUUGUGGACACACAGCUUUGAUUGCAGUUUCCAGCCUGCGCGAUUUGGUGUGUGAUAGAGAUGAUUUUUACUCUAUGCUCGCUCGUGUAGAAGAGCGCGCUUUAGAAGAGUAAACCGUUUCUGUCGUUUCUCUCCUUACUGUUACCAGUAUUCCGUGUCUCACAGAGUUUCCGCAUUUUCUUCAAAACGAAAAAGGAAAAGGACUUUUGUCUCAACUAAGUGGGCGAUGCUGCUUUUUGUUGUGUGUGUGUGUGUGUGUGUGUGUGUGUGUG